UACGUAGGUGACAAGCGUUGUCCGGAUUUACUGGGCGUAAAGAGCGCGCAGGCGGUCGUUCAAGUCGAGUGUGAAAGCCCCCGGCUCAACUGGGGAGGGUCAUUCGAUACUGAUCGACUCGAAGGCAGGAGAGGGUAGUGGAAUUCCCGGUGUAGUGGUGAAAUGCGUAGAUGUCGGGAGGAACACCAGUGGCGAAGGCGACUACCUGGCCUGUUCUUGACGCUGAGGCGCGAAAGCUAGGGGAGCAAACGGG
rnacentral:rRNA from 1 species